AGAGUUUGAUCCUGGCUCAGGAUGAACGCUGGCGGCGUGCCUAAUACAUGCAAGUCGAACGAAUCUUCUUCGGAAGAUGAGUGGCGAACGGGUGAGUAAUACAUAGGUAACCUGCCCCUGUGCGGGGGAUAACAGGAGGAAACUCCUGCUAAUACCGCAUAGCCAUGAGCACCGCAUGGAGCUCAUGCCAAAUAUCCUUUCGGGGAUAGCGCAGGGAUGGACCUAUGGCGCAUUAGCUUGUUGGCGGGGCAACGGCCCACCAAGGCAACGAUGCGUAGCCGGCCUGAGAGGGCGGACGGCCACAUUGGGACUGAGACACGGCCCAGACUCCUACGGGAGGCAGCAGUAGGGAAUUUUCGGCAAUGGGGGAAACCCUGACCGAGCAACGCCGCGUGAGCGAAGAAGGCCUUCGGGUCGUAAAGCUCUGUUGUAAAGGAAGAACGGCGCAUACAGGAAAUGGUAUGCGAGUGACGGUACUUUACCAGAAAGCCACGGCUAACUACGUGCCAGCAGCCGCGGUAAUACGUAGGUGGCGAGCGUUAUCCGGAAUCAUUGGGCGUAAAGAGGGAGCAGGCGGCCGCAAGGGUCUGUGGUGAAAGACCGAAGCUAAACUUCGGUAAGCCAUGGAAACCGGGCGGCUAGAGUGCGGAAGAGGAUCGUGGAAUUCCAUGUGUAGCGGUGAAAUGCGUAGAUAUAUGGAGGAACACCAGUGGCGAAGGCGACGGUCUGGGCCGCAACUGACGCUCAUUCCCGAAAGCGUGGGGAGCAAAUAGGAUUAGAUACCCUAGUAGUCCACGCCGUAAACGAUGAGAACUAGGUGUUGGGGGAAUAACUCAGUGCCGCAGUUAACGCAAUAAGUUCUCCGCCUGGGGAGUAUGCACGCAAGUGUGAAACUCAAAGGAAUUGACGGGGGCCCGCACAAGCGGUGGAGUAUGUGGUUUAAUUCGAAGCAACGCGAAGAACCUUACCAGGCCUUGACAUCCCUUGCAGAGGUAUAGAGAUAUAUCCGAGGUUAUCAAGGAGACAGGUGGUGCAUGGUUGUCGUCAGCUCGUGUCGUGAGAUGUUGGGUUAAGU
rnacentral:rRNA from 1 species